GGUUAUAUAUCUAUUCAAAUUUGAGCCAUUUAAAUGUGAAAAAUUCUUUGAUUUAACUUUUGAACGUGUCUUUUUCUAUAUGUGCAUUGUAAAUGUUUGAUCAUGCCCUAAGUUGUUUAAUUUGAAAUUAGAGCCUUUUGAGGUUGAUUUUUAUAAUCUAUACUACUUAUAAAAGAUGGAGUUUUUAAAUUUUUUUCUUUCCCAAAAUAUCGGUCCCUAUUAAUAUAGUAGUGUAGAUUAAAAAUUUUAAAACUCUCUCUUUUAUAAGUGGUAUAGAUUAUAAAAAUCAACCUCAAAAGGCUCUAAUUUCAAAUUAAACAAAUUAGGGCAUGAUCAAACAUUUACAAUGCACAUAUAGAAAAAGACAUGUUUAAAAGUUAAAUCAAAGAAUUUUUCACAUUUAAAUGGCUCAAAUUUGAAUAGAUCUAUAACCUACGAUCUAAUUGCCCUUAUCCAUUUAAUUUAAAUAUAUUUAACACCUUAACCACUGGCGCACGGCUUACAUGGUGCACCGGGUGUGCGUAAUGAAAAUUUGUACACCUAUCCAAUAGGGAUAGAAGAACCUUCUAAAGUGGCGGUUAAACACACACAGAGAGAAUUGUGCUAUUCUGUUAAUCCUUAAGAUUAGAUGGAACAGGCGAAAAAUACGGAAAUCAAACUAAUCAUUGAAAAGAUCAAUCCAACAAAAAUAUCCAGCUCCCAAAAUGCUCUACUAUAUCUACCCAAAAAUCUCCCCCCAACACUACCCCUAUAGUAUGAGCACUCCACCCCCCUCCUCUUCCGCUACCGCGCCCUCUCCUCCUCCCUUUCCUCCCCAAAUGAAGCGCAUCCUACGCCUUCUCGCCGUCCUCGCCUCCUUCGUCUCCCUCCCCGCACUCGCAUGCGGCGUGUGGCUCCUCGUGACCCGUGACUACGACUGCGAGGACCUGCUUGUGACGAGCGGCAUGCGCGUAGGCGUCGGGGUGGGGCUCCUCGGCAUGUUUGUCGUCAGCAAUGCAGCCGGGUACUCGACCGUGCGGAAGGGGGUGGCGCUGGCCGGGUACGCGGUGCUGGCGGUGGCGCUCGUGGUGGCACUCACCAUGGGGCUCGUGCUCGUCGGCGUGUACAAGAUGGAGGCCCGACAAGUCCCCGCCUCGCCCGGGUGGUUCCAGACGCGCCUCGCGAGCACCGGAAACUGGAAUGAGGUGAAGUCGUGCUUGUACAACAAUCGCAUCUGCAGCGACUUGGCGUACCGCACCGGCGGCCUCUCGGCGCACGAAUUCGGCAAGAUCAAGCUCUCUCCGGUUGAGGUAUUACCACGUUCUCCAUGCAUGCAUGGAACGUACGUCCAUGACUCACAUGCAAUGUUACGGUUUCGUAGUUUAGGCGCAUUUUUGGCUUAGCUUCUGCUCAAGUAUUUGUCAACUUAAUAAAUGUGAAUUGACAACUUAAAAGCUACUAUUUUUGGUACAACGAGUUGUUUUUUUCUUCUUUUUUUUUUUGCCCUUUUGUUGUUGAUUUAUUUAGAUAGAAGCAAUAAUCUGAUGCUUCUGAGUUUAGGCGCAUUUUUGGCUCAGCUUUUGCUCAAGUAUUUGUCAACAAAGUAAGCAAUGCAAGUACGAAUUUAAAACUAAAAAGUUUCUAUUUUUGGCACAACGAGUUGUUUUUUAUUUCUUUUCCCCCUUUUUGUUGAUCCAUUUAGCACCAGAGUUAGUGCUUUUCGCAACUGUAAUAUUGCUGUAGAUAUAUAGGAGUAAUGAUCUGGUGCUUCCUAUAUACUUUUUUGUAGUUUAGGCACAUUUUCACCUUAACUUCUACCCAAGUAUUUAUCAACAAGUUAUAAAUAAAUAAGCAUGAAGUUUAAACUUAGAUGCUACUAUUUUUGUCACAAAGAGUUUUUUUUUUUUUUUUCUUUUUUAUUGAUCCAUUCACCGCCAGAGUUAGUGCUUUUUGCAACUGCAAGUGCUUUUGUAAAUGAGUCUUUUACAUAUUUGUAACAUUUUGCACAAUAAAAGCAUCCUUGCCAUGCAGAAGCAUGACCAAAUAAGCCCUAAUUUUUUCUUGCGUACUAAAUCUUAAUCAUUUUUUAAAAAUUUUGUUUGGUUACGAAUAAGGCGGGAUGUUGCAAACCGCCGGACGAAUGCGGGAUGGCGUACGUGAGCGCGACCGACUGGAUAUUUGCAGAGAACAACGACUACGCAAAAUACGCCGGAGGCAAGUACAGGCCCGAUUGUCGUGCGUGGGGGAACCGAGCCGAUCAGCUGUGCUUCAACUGCGAUAUGUGCAGGGACGGGUUCGCGAAGGCCGUCACGAGUCGAUGGAGGAAGGUCGGGAUCUUCCUUAUCGUGAUUUCGGUGCUCCUGAUCGCAGUGCACGCGGCACGGUUCAUCAUCUUGAUGUCAAAGAAGUAGAAUUCAUCUUUUGUUAUAUGUUUUAGCUAUGGUACAUUUUGGCCGAAAUGUAUUGUGAUCAAUAUCAUUCAAAUUUAUGUAGGUCAUUUUUUGAAGUAGGACACUGAAGUUUAAUUUGUUCUAUUUAAAUUAGACACCUCCUCAAUUUGUUGUUUAUUUUGAUUCAUAUAUAUUAUGGGUAGAAAUUGGGUGCUAUUAGAGCACGAAAACCUCAAUGCUCCUAAACUAUUUUCGACGAUGGGACUUGCGAAUUCCUCAAUGCUCCUAAACUAUUUUCGACGAUGGGACUUGCGAAUUGACGAUCAGUUCUGUUUUACUUAAUCUAACAUAUUUGAACUAUUUAGAAAAUAAUUUUUACAGAUUUUCUCCAAUAAAUCCAUUUGCUUAUGGAGUAAAUUAGCAUGAUACCAUUUGUUAUACAAUAGAUUCGCAUUUAUAUAUUAAAAUGUUAGUAACUUAUCUACAUUUGAAUGCCAUAUAUAUUACUUAAGCUUAAUUAAGAAACUGACACCAUUAUAUAAUUAGUCUAAUACAUAAAUAUAGAAUCAUUAGUAUUUCAUAUUGAGGUGUCAAGGUAUAGUACGUUAAUGAUCAGCUCUAAUUGAUAAAAGUCUAAUUCUCUCAAUUAGUAAGAAUAUAUAAUCAUCUGUAUAGGAAGAAAGGGUAAUUGCGCUUUUCCGUAAACUAUGAGGUCCGUGACACUUAAUUUGGUCCUCAAUCUUCAAUUUGUUGCUAGCAAACUGGCUCGAAUUUUUAGAAUUAUUAUAAUCAAAUUCCAUAACUCAAUUUAAUAAGCUAAUUAAUAUUCACAAAUUAUUGACAUAGAAGUGAUAUAGUAUAUUAAUUAUUAUUACUUCAUCAAUGACAAUACUUUCACAGUAUUUCUAUAUUAAUAGUUUGUCAUAUAUUUAGUCAACAAAAUUAGAUUGUAGAAUUUAAUUGCAAUAAUUUUGAAAGUUCAAAUCAUAAAUUAUUACGAAUCAAAGUUUGAGGACCAAAUGAAAUAUACAUAUCUUAUAGUUUGGGGACCAAAACUGUAAUUUAUCCUAGAAAAAAAAAAAGUUUCAACACACCUAUACAGGUAGUAAUUAAAGUGGAUAUACACCAAAAUUUGUUAUUUUAAAUAUCUUUUAACUUUUUAUUGUUAAUAAUUUACCUAUAAUCUCUCUCUCUCCUAGUACUAUGAAUUAAAAUCUCUCUCUCUUUCUCUCUACCCUAACUAUCUCUAUAACUUCGUAAGUUACUAACAAAUUCGUGCUUAUCUAAUUAUCUAGGGUAUAUUCUAUAUAUAGUAUAUAAAAAAACAGCAACAAGCAUAAAUUUUAAAAUUUUAAAAAAUUUGAUACUUUGGAGGGAACCCGAGUUACAAUUUGUAUUUGGUAACUGUUUGACUAUAUUUUGUUCGAAAAACAAACUGUUUCAAAAUAACGACUUUUAUGCUUUGAACUAAGGCUGUUUGAUAUUAAGACCCAUCUGACGCUAUUAGAUAAAAUAGAGUUGGGAUAAAAGCAUAUGGGAUAUGCUUCUGCGUUUUUAAUGGCAUCGCAAAAAAUAUAUCGUAACCAACUCAUCGCGAUAUGCGGAACGCAAUAUUACGUACGGAAACAAACAGAACAUUUUCCUUCGUACUUUCUCACCACACGUAAUGCAAUCUUCCCACAAUCCCAAACAAAGCCUAAACUAACGUGCAUAGUAUGAAAAAAGAAAAAAAGAAAAAAAAAUCAAAGAGGGCCAUUGUGUUCGGCUGGGUAUUCGACUUGCUCUAGCUCGGAUCGUAAUUAAAUAAGCCGAGCUUGGGUUACUGGGGUCACCUGUAUUAGGCUUCAAAAGCUCAUAUAUAUAUAUAUAUAUAUAUAUAUAUAUAUAUAGAGAGAGAGAGAGAGAGAGAGAGAGAGAGAGAAAACUAGGUUGGAACACUAUCAAUAGCACCAAACUAUUGGUGCUAUUGAUUUUUUAGCCCUUAAAUUGAAAACUAGGUUGGAACACUAUCAAUAGCACCAAACUAUUGGUGCUAUUGAUUUUUUAGCCCUUAGAUUGAAAAAUGGAUGGUUAGGAUGAUGUGGGCCCCCUAGGGUUGAGUGAGUGGUUGGUUGAAUAGUAUAAUCUAACGAAUAAAAAUAAUCAUAGGGUUAAAUCUAACGGCGGAAAACUCGAUAACACCAAAUUCUUUGUGCUAUCGAUAGUACCCCAGCCGUCCGGCUAUGGUGCUUGUAAAUUUUUUACCGUUAGAUCUAUAUCUUUGAUCAUUUUCACCUGUUAGAUUAUAUUAUUCAACCAACCACCCACUCAACCCUAGGGGGCCUACAUCAUCCUAACCGCACAUUCCUUAAUCCAAGGGCCGAAAAUUUACGAGCACCAAUGACUUGGUAUUUUUAAAAGUAUAGGAGCUCAAUUCUAGCUAUAUAUAUCAAUUCAUAAACUAAUUUUCUUAGUAUUAUGCUAUGGCAUUUUAUACAUUUAUUUUGUAUAUUAAACUAUAAAAAAUAUUCUCGUGUCAAGUUCUAAAUAAUGUUCUAUGAAAAUCAAAUCGUAAAUUGCUCUAUAUCAGAAAUUUCAAAUAGCUCGUUUAGGGCUCGCAUUCGCUCGAGCUCGACUCGAAUUAAUUUUAAGCUGAGCUUUAGCUUGAAUUUAGCUCAAAACUAUUUUCAAGCCAAACUUGAGCUAAGUUAAGCUCACUCGAGCUCGACUUGCUUUCAUCCUUAAUUGCACGCAGUCAAAAAUGCAAUAAAAAAAUAUUCUAUUUAUUUCUGUAAGUGACAACUACUUAAUCAAAUAACACUUGUUCAAUUAGAAUACACUUUUUGUAGUUGCAAUGAUAAACAUUAUAAGCCUGUUUGUUUGGGUAAAAUGGAGAAGGGUGAAGUCGUUUUCGGCCAUAAACGAUUACUUCUAUUUGGUUCGCAGUAUUAAAGAUAUGAUCGAAACUCGAAUUAUCUAAAACAGUAUAAUUGACUUUGGCCUCCCUGGGCCGAAGUCAAUUAGAGUGAAAAAAGGUGAAAAAAAUAAUAAUACAAUGGGCAAUACUAGUUAUAUUUAAAUAUAUUUAAUUGUAUAUGGUACUUAUUACUCUUUUAAUUUAAAAUAUGAUAAAAUUUGAUUAAUUAAGUUUUAGUAUUUUUUUAAUUUAGUUUGUAUAUUUAAAAUGCAAUGAAAAUUGCUUAGUUAAGUAUUAAUUUUUUUCUACUUUAUAAUUUUAUUAUUGUAUUAUUAUAAUUUGUGUAUAAAAAAUAAUUUAGUUGUUUCAGAUUAAAUUUUUUAAUUAUAUAAGAAUAUAAUUACAUUAUUUUUAUUUAUUAAAUAAUAAUUUAUUAUUUAUUAAGUUAUUUACACUACAAUAAAAACGGUAUAUAGCGACACUUUUAAAUAUCGAUAUAGGUUAAAAAAAAAUGCUGCUGGCUAAAUUACCGACACUUUUUAAAAGUGUUGCUAAAUGUGGGGUCGCUAUAUGUGAGGCCACCAUAAUGUUUGGCACCCACUCCUCCAGCGACCCGUGGCGGAGGAACACAUGGCGACAGUAAUCCUCUACGGUCCCUGCGAGAUUCUCACGGCCGAACUCCAGCCACCGGAACCCUAUCUCGUCGGCUGCGGUGGCGGAGGAGAAGUGGAAAUGAUGAUUAAUUUUUCUUUUUCUUUUUUUUACUUUUCUAUUUGUAAUUGGGCCCGAGUGGGGUGGAUGGAAUUGGUUGAGUAGAGGAACUUUUUAUUUUUGAUUAGAUUGGACUUUAUAUUUAGGACUUAAUAGAUUUUUUUAAAAAGUUUUGGCAUAAAUGGGACACUUAUACAAAAGUGUCCCAAAAAUGUAUCCCUAUAAUCUAAUUCUGUUGUAGUGUUAUUAUUUAUAUAUAAAUUAUUGUUUUAUAUUAUGCAAUUUCUGCCAAACAAACAGUAGAACAGAAAAAAUUUUACUUUCAUAGCUAUGAAAACAAACAGUGAGAGAAAAGUAAUUUUCACCGAACUUCACUUUAACUCAAAAUUCAGUUUCAGUGAAACAAACAGGGUCUAUGCGACAGGCUCUAAGUUAUGAGAUGGCCCAUUCGACAUUACAAGUCAAAUGAUCCACACACACACUACGCAUUACGUUCUAGUGCGUGGGUCCAAAUGAUAAAAAGGGCCCUUUUAACGUGUCACAAGCAAUAAAAAAACUAAGCCAUCAAAAUUGCUCCACUAUAGAAAAAUUCAAUAUCCUCCACAAGUUUUUUUGCCACGCUAACCCAGUUUACUUUUUUAGUGUACCAAUUCAAAUCCCUCAACCAACUCAAACACUUGCAUAUGACUCGUUUUUGAAGCAUAUUUAUUGCUCCUUAAUUUCUCACAAUCCAUAACAUAGAGAUCAUAAAACAAAUAUACAGUGUCACUUCAUAAACAUGGCUUAUGUGAAAGGUGUUUUAGCCAUUGCUAUUUUCGUCGUGGCUUCUUGUGUUAUACAUGUCGAGAGUCGGGUCGCGAGGAAAGGCCUAGGCAUAAGCAUCGGUGAUGGCGGCGGAGUCGGUAUCGGUGCCGGAACAGGAAUCAGUGUGGGCAUAGGAGAUGGUAGUGCCUCCGGUUCUGGUUCGGGCUCAGGGUCUGCAUCCGGGUCUAGUUCUGGCUCUGGUUCCGGAGCUAGCUCAUCUGCCGGUUCGGGUGCUGGUUCAUCUGCUGGAUCAGGUGGAUCGUAUGCUGGGUCCGGUGCAGGGUCCGGCGUUGGUUCGGGCUCGGAACACGGUCAAGCGCACGGAUCGGGCCAAGGGCAAGGGUUAGGUUCGGGUUCAGGUUCGGGUUCAGGGCAUGGUGAAGGCUACGGAGAGGGUUAUGGCUCGGGUGAGGAUUCUGGGUCAGGUUCAGGUCAUGGUGAAGGAUACGGGGAAGGUUACGGGUCAGGGUCAGGGUCCGGGUCGGGUAACGGUUCUGGAUAUGGUUAUGGCGAAGGGCGCGGAUAUGGAUCUGGAAAUGGUAGUGGAAAUGGUAAAUACUAAAUAGAGGCCUAAGUUUACCAUCCUAGUUUUUGGGCCACCUCUAUGUACUUAUAAAUAAUGAGAUGGUGAAUAAAAAUAAAUAGUUAGUGAGUUACCCCAAUAAUUUAAUUACUUUGGAACAAAUUUAUAUAUUGCAUGAUAUUAACAUGAUGAAUCAACAUAAUGAAUAUCAUUAUAUUCUUCAACAGAAACUGCUUUAAUUGUGAUCCUCUUCACUUUCAAUUUUUCAGACUUAGAUGAUUGUAGUUACAAAAGCUAAAAAAAUUUAUCAAAUUAAUUAAUAAUUAUAUCAGAUAUAAGAGUUUUAGUUACUUUUCGGCACAUAAAAUGGGAACAGUUAAAUAGCUAAUAGCGUCAUUAACUUAAAUAAUUUAAUAUUCUUAGUCGAUACACUACAACAGAAUUAGGUUAUAGCGAUACAUGUUUAGGACACUUUUGUAUAAGUAUCACAUUUAUGCCAAAACUUAAAAAAAAUCCUACUAAUGCCUAAAUAUAAAGUCCAAUCCAACUAAAAAUAAAAGGGUACUCUACUCAACCCACUCCACUUAGCCUAUUCGGCCCGAUUACAAACAAAAAAGAAAAAGAAAAGAAAAAGAAAAGAAAAAUCAAUUAUCAUUUUCCCUUCUCCCCUCACUCAAUCGACUGAAAUCCUAGACGAAGAUCAUUUCCUCUCGUCCUCCUCUGCCACCGCAGCCAACGAGGUAGAGUUCCGGCGGUUGCUAAAUGCUUAAAUAAAUGUUGGUAAAUUAGCAGCACUCUUUUAGAUUAUAGCAACACUCUUUAACUGUCACUAUAUAUCUAGCGACUCCACAUAUAGCAACACUUUUCAAAAGUGUCGGUAAAUUUAGCCAGCAGCACUUUUUUGAUCUAUACCGAUAUUUAAAAGUGUCGCUAUAGACCGUUUUUGUUGUAGUGAUACUACGGAAAGAAAUAGUAAGUUUGAAUCUCUCCCGACUCCUUGUGAUUCUUUAGUACAAUUUAUAUGCGUACAAUAUUUGAAUAAAAUUUGAUCAGAGUACAAAAGUAAGUUUCAUUAAAAGAAUAAAUAAACACAAUAUUGUACACAUAAUAAUGUUUCUGAGAUCUGAUUCAUCAGAACACUCCUUAUUUAUAAUCUGAGUCCUAUGCUUAUAAAUUGGAUAGUCACGCAUUUUCCAAGCUCACAUGUCAGUGUUCGGUACAUUAAAUAAUUGUAAUUUAUUCAGAAUUAAGCAUAUAUAAAUAAGAGUACAAAUUAUAAUAAUAGUAGUAAUAAAUAACAUUAAAGUUCAAAACACCAAGUUAUACUCAACAAUAAAAACCUUAUUUUAUUCUGAAAUGGACACCCUUUAGCUUUUUUUUAAAAUUUGAAUUUUUAUAGUUAAUCAAGUUAAAAUAUUUGUUAAAUUUCAUAGAUCAAUUAGCUAUUAGCAGUUUGUUAUUCUAUUUUUUUUAAUUUAAACAAUUUUAAUAGAACUAUCAGCCAAUUCGGUAAAAUUUUAAUUUAUUUGGCCAAACUAAUUCAAAUUUUUUUUAAAACAUAAAAUGUUCAGAAAAUCUAAAUAAAGCAAAUAGUAAUUCAGAGAGCUAUUUCAAAAUGGCUUAUAUAUUUUCUGAACAUGUGUGUAACACCUGCUAAAAUUAAAAGUUAAAAAGAUCUCAUCAAUAGAUUAAAAAUAUAGUAGUAACUCAGAGGACUAUUUCAAAACCCCUAUAUUAAAAAUAUAGGGGUUCUGGAUCCAACGCAAACCUAUAUGAGCUUGAGAAUGUGAUAUAUAUGAAACUCAGUCAAACUAAAAGUUUAAACUUAUUAGGUUUGAACUCAUUAGUAGAUAUCAAUUUUUUACUCCUUUGUUAAGCGAACUCACUCAUUUGAGAUCAUGCGCUUUUUAAGUUGCGUUAUUCUGCUAUUCAUCAGAGCUCAUGCACCUGACCCGCGCCUUUCUGGUCCAACCAUAUUGAAUGCAUUAACCAUCUAAACGCAUGCGCCUAACCCAUGCCUCUCAAACCAAUUCGUUUUGGGGGGUGCCAAACCGUCAUAUCACGUAUUGUGACUUCUCUCAGCGAACAUGUCAUAUUCGUAAGAGCCACUCACUAACUUGAUCGCAAGUUUAAGCCUAUCAGGCUUGAACCCAUCAGUAUUCUUUACUCAUUUGUUAAGCGAACUCACUUAUCUGAGACUAUGCACUUUUUAAUCUGCGCCAUUCAAGAACUCAUCCGAGGCCAUGCACUUAGACCCGCGCCUUUCUGACCCAACUAUAUUGAAUGCAUUAACUAUCUGAACCUAUGCGCUUAACCCAUGCCACACCUCUCAAGCCUAAUUCUCUUCGGUGGCGCCAAACCAUCAUAUCGUGUUUCGUGACUCUCUCAGCAAACCCGUCGUAUUCAUGAGAGUCAUCAAUUCAAUUACACCAUAUCAUUUAGAUAAAUAGUCGAGGAUUGUCAAAUCAUCCGCUCUAAUACCACUUGAUGGAGAGUUUUGAGGCCGGGACAAACCAACAUGAAUCAAGAAUAUGACAUAUUGAAUGCAAAUCAUUCGACCUAAAAGCUUAAACCUAUUAAAUCUGUGCCCACUAAUAUACAUCAAUCAUUUUCUCUCUUAUUAAUAUUAUCUGAUAUUAGACUAUUCACGUGUGAACCCUUAACAAUUCGGUGCAUCAAUUAGCUAUGCACACCAGUAGGUCCCCCAAUAACGUUGAUAACGAAAAUCGCGCUUAGUGGGUGUUAUUAAAGCGCUAAUCUUAAUAUUUAAGAUAAAACUCAUUGAAUCGAAUUUAAUUAUUAUUUACUGGUUGAAUUUGACUAACUUCAGUGAAUAUUUGUGUUCUUGUCAAGAGUAGAUGUAUACAUUUUUUUAAAAGGUUAAAAUACAGAAAAUUCUCUUAUAAUUUUUUUUUUUUACUUUAUAAAUCUAUAUUUUAAUUUUUUUAAAAAAAUAGAAAUAUUAAUGACAAAAUAACAAAAUUGUCCUGAAAGAAUAGUUUUUUAAUAUUUCUAUUUUUUAAAGAAUACUUUUAGCAUAAAUUAUAAGAAAUUGGUGAAAUAGUAACAGAACCCUAACAAAAGGGACUAAACACAUUAUCUUGAAAUUUUGAGAGGAUAAAAUAUAAAUUUUUAAAAAUUAGAGAGGAAAAGUGAAAAAAAAGAUAUUUACCGGAAGAUUUUUUAUAUUUUAAUUUUUAAUAUACAGUCAAAUAUUUGGGAAAUAGCUCACAAUUUUUUUUUGAAUAUUGCUUUUUUGUUGCUCCUAAAAUUUAUUAAACAAAUUUUAAUUAGUGAAACAAAAUAUUAAAACUUCUCCAAAUAAUACUUCUUCAGUUGAAUCUUGGCUUUCUUUCUUUUUCUUUUUCUUUUUUUUUUACGGAAAUGGUUAUCGCACAACUAACAUGCUCGUAAAUUUUCAAUUUUGAAUUAAUUUUUCACAACUAUUAUUUGUCCAUAAAUAAGUAUUAAAGGGUUCAGGGUGGAGAUGUAUAUCACUCCCAUUUAAUUUCAUAAAUGCUUAUUUAAAUUGUGAUCUCGUUCUCAUUGAAUUUAAUAAUGCAUUUAAAGAGAAUUUCUCAUCUCAUGCACUACAACAAAAUUAGAUUAUAGCGACACAUGUUUGGAACACUUUUGUGUAAGUGUUUCAUUUAUGCCAAAACAUAAAAAAAAAUCUACUAAUGCCUAAAUAUAAAGCCCAAUUCAACAAAAAAUAAAAGGUUACUCUACUCAACCCACCCUACCCAGCCCAUUCAAUCCGAUUACAAACAGAAAAGAAAAAAAAAAAAAAAAAAAUUAAUUAUCAUCUUCCUUUCUCCCCUCACUCAAUCCACUGAAAUUCUAGACGAAGAGCCCUUCCCUCUCCUCAUUCUUCGUCACCGCAACCAACGAGGUAGAGUUCCAGCAGUUGCUAAAUACUUAAAUAAGUGUUAGUAAAUUAGCAGCACUCUUUUUAGAUUAUACUGACACUCUUUAACUGUCACUAUAUACCUAGCGACCCCACAUAUAGCAAAAUUUUUUAAAAGUGUCGAUAAUUUAGCUAACAUCACUUUUUUUUAUCUAUACCGAUAUUUAAAAGUAUCCCUAUAGACCAUUUUUUUUUGUAGUGUCACUCCUGUUUAAUUUGAGAGAUUCGUCCUUUAUUAAAGUACAGCAGAUUUUUAGUAUAACAAAACAAUAGUCACCAUUCAUUUUAGCAAAAAAUAAUAUUGAGCAAACAUUCUUUUAUUUUCUCCUGCAUUAUUUCAUAUAAAAAAUUCAUUUCAAAAAUAAAAAUUUAUGUUACAUUGAAAUAGAUUUUUUACAUAGAAUGCGGGGUGGGUAUAAAUUUUAUAGGUAUAAAUUUUAUAUCCAAUGGAUAGGUGUACACAUAAUAUUGCUCUUACCUGACCGACCGUCCCUAGUGCAAGUGGCAAAGGGCUUAGUGGUUGGUAUCCGAAAUCCAAAUUCGAAUCCUAGUUAGAUUCACAUUUACAGCUAAAUUUAUUUUUAAAUAAAAUAAACGAAAAAGGUAGCGUGCUGCCUAUCUCUUAAAAAUAUAUAUAUAUAUAUUACUCUUACCUGAGUGUAUAGAGCUACGUACGUACACAUAAUAUGCUUUUUUUUUAAAAAAAAAUUUGAUUGAAUAUUGCAUAUCCUAAAUAGUGCAUGUGAAGUAAUAUAAAAAGACCAUCUAUUGAUUAUGGAUAAAUUUUACACUCCCCUUGUUCCAAAGACUUUAUUUUCCGCUUGUUUUAUCAAUUUUUGUUUCAACUAAAGGUUUUUUUUUUGAAUUUCAAUGAAAUUUUAAUAAAAUAAUAUAUAUAUAUUAUUAUAUAUUAUAUAUAUAUAUAUAAUAUAUAUAUAUAUAUAUAUAUAGUGCCGUCUGUAUACUUCUGGAAGCAAGAGCGCUCCGUGUUUCAAGUUGUUUUCGAUGUUCGAUUUUCGAAUCGACGAUCGGCUCCGUUAGACUUGAUCUAGAUAUUUGAAGUAUAUAAAAUAAAUUUUUGAGAUUUUCGAUAUCAUUUGCUAGUGAUCGAAGUGACUCAAAUCAUAAUUUAAUGGCCGUGGUGAGCCGUUUGAAGUUAACGGUGUAGAAUAUCCAAAUCACAUGAAAUUUUGAUAGAAAAUUCUUUAUACUAUAUAAAACAAGAUCAAUAACUUUAAUCUAAAAUUUUAAUGUCAUAUUCAUAUAUUUUGUAAAAUUUUUAUUUUCAACCUGAUUUUGAGCCACAAAAUUAUUUUCUAAAUACUUCAAAAUACUUUAGAUCAACUCUAACGGAGCCGAUCGUCGAUUCGAAAGUCCGAACAUCGAAAACAACUGGAAGCACGGCGGGCUCCGUACUUUCAGAAGCAUACAAGGUCACUCUAUAUAUAUAUAUAUAUAUAGAGAGAGAGAGAGAGAGAGAGAGAGAGUUGAGCUAAAAUACUAUCGAUAGCAAACGAGCUCCGUUGCCACCCAUUUGUUUUCGAUGAUGGAGCUUUCAAAUCGACGAUCGGCACCGUUGAACAUGAUCUAUACCACUUGAAGUGUUUAGAAAUCAAAUUUUAUACAUUUUCGAUAUUGUUCUUUUAUCUAUCGAAUGGACACAAAAAUGAAUGGCUGAAAAUGAAUAUUCUUUAAAAAAUGAUGAUAGAAAUCUUGUAAUCAAGAUUAAGAGUAUAGAUCUUGUUUUAAAUAGUUUAAAGAAUUUUCUAACAAAAAUUUAAUUGAUUUGGAUAUCUUUACACCGUUAAACGAGAAAACGCCUCACAUCGACCAUUAAAAUUACAAAUUUUGAAACCCUUUGAUCAUUAGGCAAAUGAUGUCGAAAAGAUUUAAAAUUUGAUUUCUAAACACUUCAAGUGAUAUAGAUCAUGUUCAACGGUGCCGAUCGUCAAUUUGGAGGCUCUAUCAUUGAAAACAAAUGGGUGGCAACGGAGUCCAUUUGCUAUCUAUAGUAUUCUAGCUCAACUCUCUAUAUAUAUAUAUUUAUAUAUAAAGCUAGGCUUCUAUGCUUUCGAAAGUACGAGAGCCUUCGUACUUGUAAGUUGUUUUCAAUAAUGGGACAUCCGAUUCGGCGAUCAGUUCCGUUAGACAUGAUCUACGCUGUUGGAACUACCUAGAAACCAAAUUUCAUAAAUUUUUUACUUCGUUUGUCUAGUAAACGAGCAGCCUCAAAAUGAACGGCUGAAAAUGAAAACCUCAUAAAAAACAGUGAUAAAAGACUCAAAUUUCAAAUCGGAAGUAUUGGUCUUGCUAUUGAUGUUAAGUAGAAUUUUCUAUUAAGUUUUUAUCUAAUUUGGAUACUUCAACACCGUUGAACUUAAAAACGUGCCACAUCGGCCAUUAAAAUAGUUAUUUUUGAGACCUUUUGAUCGGUUGGUAAAUGAUGUCAAAAAAUUAUAAAAUUUGAUUUCUAAAUAAUUUCAAUAGGAUAGAUUAUACUUAACGGAGCCGAUCGUCGAAUCGAAUUUUCUAUCAUUAAAAAUAACUUACAAGCACGGAGGUCUCCGUACUUUCGAAAGUAUACUUUCGAAAGUAUACGAGACUUACUUAUAUACUGUACUGAAAAGCUAUUGGACUCCCUGAUUUGUACCAAGUACCAACCAACGCACAUGGGGGCCUCAUAAACUAUGGAAACUUUUUCCACAAACAAAUUAAAGGGAACAUCUACUUUGGAUGUACCAAACCCCUCAAGCUUUUCUCACACUCCAUCUCUCUCUCUCUCUCUCUCUCUCUCUCUAUCUCUCUCAUACAAACUUUUUCUCUUUUUAACUUGCCUUUAUCUCUAGCUUUAUUUUCAAGGGAAAAAAACAAAAAAAAAAAACUCAUACUUCUAGUCCUUAUAUAUGUAUUAGAUAUUGGAUUCCAAAUUAUUGCCUACACGUAAUGCAUCUGCACAUUUGUAAAUCAUACAUUUAUCGAAUCUUCAGUUUCUACAUUAUUUUUCAGUGUUACCAUUUUUUUUUUUUUUUGAGAGAAAGAUAGCAUGCGACCCACUUCGUUUAUUUCAUUUAGAAAUAAACUUAGCUGGAAAUAUGAAUCAACUAGGAUUCGAACUUGGAUCUCGGGUACCAACCACCAAACCCUUUGCCACUUGCUCUAGGAACGGUCGAUAGUGUUACCACUUAUUGAGUCACAAUUUUUCUCUAUGUAUAUAUUAUGAACUGUUGAAUUAAAAGUAUGAGAUCGAUGAAUAACAGAUGAGACUUCCUUUAAUAUUGCAGGAGGAUUAUGUUGCGUACAGUCAAAAAUAACUCCUUUUGCCAAUAUAUAUAUAUAUAUAUAUAUCGAUAGCACGAAGCAUUUUGUGCUAUCAAGUUUUCUACCGUUAGAUUUAACUCUUUUAUCAUCUUCAUUCGUUCGAUUAUACUAUUCAACUAACCACCCACUCAACUCUAGAGGGACAACAUUAUUCUAACCGCACAUCUUUUAAUUCAAAGAUAAAAAAUUUAAUAACACCAAGUCAUUCGUACUAUUAAUAAUAUUCCAGCCUAGUUUUUUUUUUUUUAUGGUCCCACAAGAAAUAGAGAAUUAUUUUCCUAAUAAAAAAGAUUAGAUCUUGAAUCAAAAGUUCGGGGACUAGUAGGCGAAUUAUUAAUUUUAGUUGACUAAAGUCACUCAAUUCUGAAAAAUUAAAAGCCGAGGAAAUUUCAACCAAAAAAAAAAAAAAGAAAAAAGUUGAGGGCAAUUUCAAAACGACAAAUAGUUUAGGGGGUCUCCCCAACUUUUAACUUUUUUCCUUUUCUAAAAUGACGUGUCCCAUAAUUGCGGCAACCCCGAUAAAAAUCGACAGCAUAAAAACCGCGGGACCCACGCGUGUGUUGGGGGCGGAGCCAAUGAGAGCGCGCCGAACCCAACGGUCGUCAAUGCUGACGUGGCAGGAGUCCAAAGCCGGUAAACCCCCGCUCACCGCCACCGUCCAAAUCCCGAGUCCACCGGCUCGCCGGUGAAUCUCCCGGUCACCCCCGCCCCUUCCCCGUUUUAGCCGCGACCGGUUCAACCGGUCGUCAAAUACCCCGUUCGUUUCAAAGUUUGAAUGAAGCUGCUACCAUUUUUGCAAACAAACCCACUAAAAAACAGAUAUUUACAUAUACCGGAAACCCCCUCAAAUAUAGCUUAAUUCGAACUGGUCCCCUCAACUUUCUUUCUUAACACCUUUAAAUUUUGGAAAAUUUUCAAAUACCACCUUAUAGUUUCACACUUUUUUAUUUUAGUACCAUAUAGUUUAAAGUGUAUCAAUUUAGUACUCAAGGUUUCAUUUUUCUUUUUUAUUAUCCCAUCCACUAAUUUUUUUCGUUAUAUUAGUGACAAAGUUCAAACUAAAAGAUAUUAAGUAAAUAUCCGAUAAACUUAGGUAGGGUAUCUGAAAUUUUUUGUUUAUAAUUUAACAAAAUGUUAACGGAGGAGCUGACGAAAAGAGAGAAAUAAAAUCAUAGGAUACUAAAUUGAUACAUUUUAAAAUACAGAAUACUAAAGUGAGAAAAUACUAAACCACGAGACUGGUAUUUGAAGCUUAUCCUUUAAUUUUUUAUUUUUUACGAACUAAAUAUAAAAAUUUUAUCAAUUUUAAUCAGUAUAAUUUUUUUUAACAAAUAGAAUAAGAAUGAUUACUUUUUAUUUAUAUUUUUCUAAAUAGAAUUUAUACAUAAAAUAGUGUAGUAGGAAAUGGUUGAAUUAUUUAUAAAUCUUAUAUCCAAGUUGUUUACUUCACAACAAAAGUUACAAACAUAAAAAUGAUUUUUUAAAAAAAAAAUUAUAAUCCAUUGUUUUGUCGAGAUGCAAUAAAAAGAAAGUUCUUUCGCCAAUAUAUUAAAAUUUAAAGUUUAGAAUAAUAAGAAAAAUGCAGGAAUACCUAACAAGGCAUAAAUUUAAUAAAAUAAUAUGCAAUCAAAAUGUUUGUAAAAUUGAGUUUAAGAAUUAAAAUAAAUUGUUCAGGGGUCUAUUUACAAACCUUUGCAUAUUUUUCCCACUUUAAAGGGUUACGGACACGUGGCAGUUGAAAACAGCCAAACAACAAACAUUCGGAUAUCUCGAGACUUAAAUAACAAGUUACCCGACUCUUGCAAACAGAAGAUGCAAAUGGAUUCGGGUUAGUGGAGCUUCUGUUUAGAUCCGUUUUAAAUGGGCAAUCAAUAGAAACCAAUAUAUAUAUAUAUAUGAAGUGAAUGGUGAAAGAUUUUUUUUUCUUUAAAAUCGAUCCACUCCAAAUCCGACCGAAUCCAAUAAAAAGCGGAGCUGAAGAUGGAAACUCCUCCCGCCUCCAGAUCCGCCCCGUUUGCCGUCGAACCAGGGCCCAAUUUCAUAAUAACUUUGCUUACAAUGUAAUUAAUUUAUUAUAUAGAGUAAACUUACAAUGCUUUUAGGAUCCGACGAAUGUGUUCCUUUUUGCAUCAUUUCGAUGAUAGAACAUCUAAAUUCAUGAUUAAGAAAAUUAAAUAUAAUUUAAAUUAUUUAACUUUUAUACAAUAUAAAUUUUUAAAUUUUUAAAUAUUAUCUUUUUAGUAAUUAAAUAGUUUUAAAUUUAUCUUAGGAUCCAUUUGGCUCAGAAUUUGUAAUAUUACGAAAAUAUUUUAUAUUUUCUAUUAAAAAAAAUAUUUAAAUCAGUAUCAUUCAAUUCAAGUUGGAUAAUUGUAAAAAAUAUUAGUGAAAUAAUAAAAUUAUUUUAGACUUUUAGCCUAUAGAAUAUAUUUUUGAAAUACAACAAAUUUUGCAUCAAAUGGACUCUUAUAUUAAACAUAGUUAAUUUUAAGACCACUAGAAUACUAGACAGAUAAUGUCAAAAAAAUUAUAAAAAUUGAUAUAGAUCAAUUUAAUAGUGUUGUUCGUUAAUUCAGAAGCUUCGUCGCCCAAAGGCCGAUUAUAUUCAAUUCUAAAAUUUUAAAAUGAUGUACUUUAUAUUUGAAACUUUUUAAAUUGUUGCAAUAUAAGUCGUGUAGUUCAAUUCGGUUAAUGCAAUGACGAUGAGUCACUGAUGUGUCGGUGAUGUAAAAUUUUAAUUACUAAAUUUUAUACUGUAAUAUUUAUCUCUAAUAAAAGAGUACGAGAAAUACUAUUUGUACGCUUAAAAGUAGAAUAUAAAUUGACAACCAUCGAGCCAUUAAAGAGUUUCGAAAGUCCUUUAGAGAUUUUAAUAUCAAAAUAUUUGAUAGGACUGGUAAAAAAAAAUUGACAUUUGAAUGAAUAAGAUAUAAAAUUUAAAAACUUUUGCUCAUUUUCAAAUUUAUUCUAUAAUUAUCAAAAAAAUCUCCAUUAGUAAACCUAGAAAUUUGAGAAUAUUUGAAGGAAUUUGUAAGCAUCAAUAAGAAUAUUUUUAUGGACUAAAAAUAUAUUAAAUAUUUUUUAAAAUUUGGAGGGUAUAUUAGAUAUUAUAUUCAUAAAGUUUACAUACUCUUUUUUAUUUAGGUUAAUUUCAUUUGUAUCCUCACAAAACCUUUAAAUUUUAAAAUUUAACAAAUACCCUCUAAAUACAAUAUUUCUUUCAUAAAUACUCUUACUGUUAAUUUUUUCUAACUUUCCUCAAUUUAAAAUUUUUUUAUUUUACUUCAAAAUAUUAAAUUACCAUUUUGCCCUUAAUUUGUUUACUAUUUGUUUAAAGGGUUAAUUUCAUCCGUACCCCUCUAAAUUUCAGAAAUAUUAUAAAUGCUCCUAUGAAUUUUAUCAUAAUAUUACAAUUAUCCUUCUAAAUUCAUACUUUCUUUCAAAAAUGCUCUCACUGUUAUACUCCGUCUCUUCAAGUCAUAGUAAUCUUAGUUAAAUGGCAAUCUAACACUGGUUAAAAUUUGCAAUGUUAUUUUGCCCAUUAGUUGAGAAAUUUUUUAAGGGUAUAUUAAUUAUAUAAUUUAUUAUUUAAUAUCUAACAUUUUGUUCGUUAUUUGUUUAACAUCUAAACUAACACGCUGAUAUUCUUUAGUACUAUUUAGCUCCUAACCUUUGUUAAUUAUUUAUUUUAGUUAAUCAUAUUUAAAUUUUAUUUAACUUAGAUUUCUCUUUUAGCUAUUACUUAUUAUUUUUUUUUUAUUUUAACUUUUAGAAAGUAAUUAAAAUUAUUAAAUUUGUUGGAAUCAUCAAUGGAUUGAUAAAAUCUGUAAUUUAAUUGACAAAAAUCAAUCCAAUUUCAAGAAACCAAAUAUUAAGAAGACUUUGAUAAGAAAAAAAAAAAUUUAAUUAAUUAAGGGGCUAUUUCAUAAUAUAUAUAUAUAUAAUAGUUAAGAAAAUCUCUAUAUAUUAAUAUUAGAAAAUUUGUUAGGGUAUACAUGAAAAUGUAUGGAGGGUAAAUUCGGUGUUUUUGAAAAUGUUUAUGUUUUUUUUUUAAGGUAAAUAUAAAAUUUUAAAAAUUUUAAAAGGUAUUUACGUUCUUGUUUUUUAGUAGGGGUAUCCUAUCAAGUGGCAUUUGCUCGUAGUAAAUGGUUGAGGGGGUACACCACUGCAUUUUUCACUUUUACUCCUUUCUGAUUUUUUUUAAUUUUUUUUAAAAAAGAACCACCUUUUUCUCUUCUUUUUUUUUUUUUUUCNCGUCCCCUCCCCUCCCCUCCCCUUCUCACUCUUUCUCUCUCUCUCUUUCUAUUUAUAUCCGUCCCUAUCUUUCCUCCCCUCCUUAGCAGGCGCAGAGUUUUCCUUCUCACAAAAUUACAACAAGAAACAAAAAAGAAAAGAAAAUCUCUGUCCUGCUUUCUAUCUUUAUCCUCCUUCUCUUCCUCCUCCCCCAAUCUACUACUAUUCAUUCAUUCUCUCCUCUUCCUCAUUCAUUCAUUCAUUCAUCAUCCCACCACUUGAGUUAGUUAGUCAUAUUAUCAUGAGAAAUUAAAAGAAAAAUAAAUAUCUAUCUAUAUUAAAAAAAGAGAUAGAGAUAGAGAUAGAGAUAGAGAUAGAGAUAGAGAGAUAUAGAGAUAGAGAGAUAGAGGGAUAGGGAUAGGGAGAGUGAUACCGAAAGAAGAAAGAGGGAGGAAAUCGUCGUCGUCGUCGUCGGAGAUGCGGGCGGUGAAGAUGGGCGGGGAGGCGGCGGAGGAGGAGGGGUUUCCGUCGACGCCGGGGAAGGUGAAGAUGGAGCGCGGGGGGCCCGGGCAGUACAACCGGCAGCUGCAGCGGUGCUUCGCGUCGACGAGCAGCCUGUUCCUGUGGGCGCUGUUCCUGGUGGCGCUGACGGCCUCGUACCUGAGCUUCCAGAGCUUCGUGGACACGUCGUCCCGCUACCUGUCGGCCUCCUGGGGCGGCCUCCACUGGGAGCGCCGCCUGCGCGCCUCCGCCCGCCCGCGCCGGCCCGACGGGCUCUGCGUGCUCGUCACCGGCGCCGCGGGCUUCGUGGGGUCGCACGCGUCCCUCGCCCUCCGCCGCCGCGGCGACGGCGUCCUCGGCCUCGACAACUUCAACCCCUACUACGACCCCUCCCUCAAGCGCGCGCGCCAGUCCCUCCUGGCCUCGCACGGCGUCUUCGUCGUGGAGGGCGACCUCAACGACGCCCCGCUCCUCGCCCGCCUCUUCGCCGCCGCGCCCUUCACCCACGUCCUCCACCUCGCCGCCCAGGCCGGCGUCCGCUACGCGCUCGAGAACCCGGCCUCCUACGUCCGCUCCAACGUCGCCGGCCUCGUCGCGCUCCUCGAGGCCUGCCGCGCCGCCGACCCCCAGCCCGCCGUCGUCUGGGCCUCGUCGUCCUCCGUCUACGGCCUCAACGACAAGGUCCCCUUCUCCGAGUCCGACCCCACCGACCGCCCCGCCUCGCUCUACGCCGCCACCAAGAAGGCCGGCGAGGAGAUCACCCACGCCUACAACCACAUCUACGGCCUCUCCGUCACCGGCCUCCGCUUCUUCACCGUCUACGGGCCCUGGGGCCGCCCCGACAUGGCCUACUUCGCCUUCGCGCGCGCCAUCCUGCAGGGCAAGCCCAUCACCGUCUACCGCGGCCGCGACGGCGUCGACCUCGCGCGCGACUUCACCUACAUCGACGACGUCGUGCGCGGCUGCGUCGCCUCGCUCGACACCGCGCGGCCGAGCACGGGGGGCCGCGCGGGGCGGAAGCGCGGGGAGGCGCAGUACCGGAUCUACAACCUGGGCAACAGCGCCGGUGACGGUGCCGCGGCUCGUCUACCUGCUGGAGAAGCACCUCGGGGUGCGCGCGCGGCGCAACGUCGUCGAGAUGCCCGGCAACGGCGACGUCCCCUUCACCCACGCCAACAUCUCCCUCGCCCGCGCCGAGCUCGGCUACAAGCCCACCACCAAUCUCGACGCCGGCCUCAAGAAGUUCGUCAAAUGGUACCUCUCCUACUACGGGUGCGUUCGUUUAAGUCGACUAAUUGACUCGGCACGUGUUUGGCUCGGACCACCCAAAAGUGUAAUAAUCAUCCCCAUCACCAUCACCAUCACCAUUCAUCACCAUUCAUCAUCAUAUUUUUCAAUUUUAUUUUCCCAUUUUUUACUUCACUUUUUAAUCUCGCCUCUUCUCCUUCCUCUUCUUCUUCUUCUUUUUCUUUGUAUUUUUGAAGUAGGAAUUUUUUUUUUUGGUAAUUAUUAUUAUUAUUAUUAUUAUUAUUAUUAUUAUCGGAUAAAUUUUUUUUGGGGAAAAGAAAAAAAAAAUUAUAUGAGAAAUUCGUUUCUUCGAGAAGAGGAGAAGCGGCGGAGGAGAGGAGGAGGAGGAGGAGGAGCGCACUCAAUAUGUUGUGCCUUUUGUUUUUUUCUUUUUUUUUGUUUAAUUAACUAUUUUAUUUUAUUUUUAUUUUUAUUUUAUUAAUUUUUAUCAUCAUCCUGUAAAGCGACUGUGAAUGAAUUAUUUCCCGGAUCUCGGGUUCUAAUUGGACGGCGGAGAUUGAUUCACUUGUUUUUUUUUUUGGAUUGAUGUGUUUGUUUGUUANGACCGUCCAUUUGGCUCCGCUCCUUUACUUUCCCGCCCCCAACAAUGUAUAUCGGCGAUGAGGUGUGAUAUUAAUAAAUAAUAAAUAAAAAUAAUAAUAAUAAUAAUAGUAGUACCGCGGUGGGGCCCACGUCGAGAAAGGUGGACGGUUCGAUUAGCGUGCCGAACCCAUGUGGACAGCAUGAUCUUGUUUGGAAUAUUCGGGAAAAAAAAAAGGUUAAAAAAAAAAAAAAGGAAAUGGAGUGUGAACGUUGGAGAGUCGGUGAGCUGUAAAUUUUGAGCGCUCGAUCAACAAAAAAAGAAUGAGGUGUGUUUGUGUGGUUAUGUAAUGUAACUUCUUUUUAAAUUAAGGGUUAAUUUCAUUUAGGUCCCUACAAAUAUAGUAAAUUAUAAUAAUAUUUUUAUAAAGUUUAAUUUUUUUUUAUUAUAUAUAUUGUUUCUGUAAAAAUUUUAAUAUUUUCAAAUAUGUUUCUGCCGUUAGAAAAAUUUAGUUAAUCAUAGGAUAAAUACUUAAUCCUGAUUAGUUUAUAAGAUAACUUGAUAUUUUUUAUCUCUCUUAUAUUGUACUAUCGUGACUUUUGGACGGAUAUAUUUAUGAUGACGUAAUUGAUAUUUUAUUUAAAAUAUAAACAGUUUUAUAACAGUAACAAAGCAGAAUGAUAUUUGAAAAUAUUAAAAUUUUUAUAGAGACAAAAUAUGAAAGUUGAAUUUUAUAGGAAUAUACUUGUAAUUUAUUAUAUUUGCAGAAGCCUGUAUGCAUUCAACUCUUAAAUUAAAUAGGAAAGAAAAAAAAAGUAAAUCUCUCAUUUAGUUCAAAACUACAAUUUAUCCAUUAGGAAUGUUAGUGGGUACGGAUGCUCAUAAUUUUAUCCGAACCCUGUCCUAAACGGGGCGGGUUGAAUUGGUGCUAAACUGAAAUAAUUUCAAUCAUAGGUUAAAAAAAAACAAUAACAACGAAACGAAUUCGGAUUCGGAUUCGGUUAUAGUUUUUGCGCAAAAUUUGAAAUCAAAAUCAUAUAAAAGGUAUAGAAUACAGUUUUCUAAAUACUUAUUUUAAUAACUAUAAAUUUUAAUUUAACAUUUACUGACCCAUUAAUUUUCCUACUAUUGAUUAAAACAUUAAAAAAGGUCAAAACAGUAUUUUAAAAUUUUAACCAAAUUUCAAAUAGACCAUAACUAGCGUAGGGUAUUUGUGAUAAAUUUUAAUAUUUUGAAGGGCAUUCGUAACAUUAUCUAUUUUAAAAGAAUAUUGAUAAAAUUAAUAGUUUCUAGAAGGGUAUUCAUAAAAUUAUUCCAUUUAUAUUUGAUUUACCAUAAUGUUUAUAAUAAUAGUAUUUGUUGUAUAAUAUUAUAUGAGGUCACUCUCUAUUAUUUUAUUAUUUAUAAUUAAAUGAAGUUUACAAUACCCUAAUCAAGUAAAAAUACUUUAUAUUUGUGUUUACUUUCAUAAUUAUAAUUACACUUUUGACCCCUAAAUUUUAAACACAUAACACUUCAGUAUUCAAAGGGUAAUAAUUUGUCAUAAAUUUUAGGAAAAACUUCAAAAAAAAACCCGUGGUUUAAAAUGUAUCAAUUUGCCCCCCUGUGGUUUCUUUUUUCUCUUUUUCUUAUUAAUUUCAUUAUUUUUUUUUCUUAAAUCAGCGAUAAAGUUAAAAUUAAAGGGUACUAAGUGAAUAUUUGAUAAAUCUAGAUGGGUAUUUGAAGUUUUUUGUAUAUAAUUUAAUGAAAUAUUAACGAAAAAGCUAUCGAAAAGAUAAAAACGAAACCACAGGGGGCAAUUUGAUACAUUUUAAACCACAGGGGGGUUUUUAAAGUUUUUCCUAAAUUUUAAAUUUCAACAACUUAGAUUAUUAUAAUUAAGUCUAAUUUAAUUAACUAAAUACUGAUCCGUCCCUCUUGUCGCCAUAGUAAUAUGUUAUUUUAUUCAAUAUCUCAUUACUGAUCAAAAUACUUUAGCCUCACUACUUGCUUAAUAGCAAAAAUAUAAAAGAUUUGAGCUAGACAUUAUAACAAAUUAAAAUUUAAAAAUUAAAAUAUUAUGCGCUUAAAAUUUGAGAACUAAAUAUGAAAUUUAUUCUAAAAUUUUAAUUAAAUUUAUUAUUAUUAUUAUUAGGAUAAACUUCAAAUAUCAUUCAUGUGGUUUGCACUUUCUUACUUUAGUACCCUAUGGUUUAAAGUGUAUCGAUUUGGUACCCUAAAGUUUUAUUUUUUUCUUUUCGUCAGCUCCUCUAUUAACAUUUCGUUAAAUUAUAUACAAAAAACUUCAGAUACCCCAGUUAGCUUUAUCGAAUAUUUGUUAUUGAUUUAAUAAAAAAAAUUAAUAGAGAAAAUAAUAAAAAAAAUAAAAUAAAAUUACAUAAUACUAAAUUGAUAUAGUUUAAACCAUAAAGUAUUAAAAUAAAAAAAUAUGAAAUUACAGUAAUGAUAUUUAAAGUUUUUAUUAUUAUUAUUAUUAUUAUUUUGGGUGUAAUACGUGCUUUGUAAUUUGGAUUGUACGGAUGGAGAAACAAAUACUUUUGUCGGAAGGAAAGUGCUUUACUUGCUUCGGAUGCAACAUCCUAUAUUCCAUCAAUGAUGAUAAUCAUGGAUUUUUGCCCGAGUAAUGGACGGUGGAGAUUGUGCCACGUGGCAAAGUUUUUAUGUGAAGCACUAGUAAUGGAAAGUUCAACUUUAAAGCUAAGAAAAGAAAGUAAUAUUUUUUGGGCAAACUUCAAACGCCACCUCUGUGAUUUCGCACUUUCUAACUUUUAAUCUGUGAUUUAAAGUGUAUCAAGUUAGUGUUCUAUAAUUUUAUUUUAUCUUUUCGUAAACUUCUCCGUUAAUAUUUUUUAAAAUUAUAUAUAAAAAAUUUCAGAUAGUCAAUCUAGAUUUAUUGAAUAUUCACUUUAUUAUCUUUUAUUUUUAACUUUGUCACUGUUUUAACAAAAAAAAUUAGUAAAAUCAAUAAUAAAAAGAUAAAAAUAAAACUGCGGGAAACUAACUUGAUACAUUAAUUUAAAUCACGAACGGUAUUUAAAGUUUACCAAAAAAAUUAUAAAUCUUUAAAUAGUGGGUGAAUUUUUUUUUUUUUAUUAUAGAGGAGUUGAGCUAGUAUGCUAUUGGGAGUGUAUAAGUAGUAAUUAUUAUUAAUUUUUUUAUUGUUAAAUUAUUAUUAUUAUUCUAUCAGUUUUUAUUAAAUUUUAGACGUUUAUUAAUGGUAAAAAAAAAAUUGAUAGUAAUAUAGUGCAAAAGUUAAUGUCUAAUAUAAUAUAAUAAGCAUUAAAAGAUGAGGAUAAAGAGUAAGUCCUUUUGUACUGAGUUGGGUGAUAUUAUUGUGUGGGACCCACCAAAGCCCCAGAAAAAAAAAAAAAAAAAGGGAAAAAAAAUAGAAGGGAAAGAAUUAAAAAAGGGUGGGUAGGGGACUAGAGGUGAUGAACAAGUUGUAGUGUGCCAACUAUAAAGAGGGGGUAUGGGUUGGCAAGGGUUGUGUGAGUGUGUAGUAAUUGGUAAAAGAUGAUGACACUAAUAAUGGAAGAGAAUGGGGCAUAUCUUGGCUUUUAAUGGUAAUAAUAAUAUUAAUAAUAAUGAUAAUGUGAUGGAUCCAUGUACUCAUGUGUAAUUUCUAUAGAGAGAGAGAGAGAGAGAGAGAGAGAGAGAGAUGAUGCAUGUGACAUUAAUGGCCAUAAAAUUAUUUGCAAGAGAGAAAGAAAGAGAGAGGAUGCAUGCAUGUGAUAUGAAGGCCAUAUACAUAUAGAGAGAGAGAGAGUAUGGCUAUUAUACUUUUAUGAGUAUUAGGUCAUUCGUAUUUAUAGGUUGUUUUGAAUAAUGAAGUUUUCGAAUCGACGAUUCACUCCAUUAAAUAUAGUAUAGAGUAUUUGAAAUUUUUAAAAAAUAAAUUUCAUAAUUUUUCGAAAUCAUAAUAAAAUCUAUCAAGCGGAUAUAAAUUGAACGUUCAAAAUCAAACGACGUCCUAAAAAUGAAUGAUCGGAUCCUGUCAAUUUUGUAACCUUUUGAUCGUAAGGUAAAUGAUGCAGAAGAAUGAUGAAAUUUGAUUUCUAAAAAUUUUAAAUGCUCUAGAUAACGUUUAACGGUAUAGAUCAUUGAUUUGUAAGCUCUAUCAUCGAAAAUAAUUUAUGAGUACGAAGGCAAUCGUACUCAUAAAAGUAUAAUAGCCAGACUGACUCUCUCUCUCUCUCUCUCUCUCUCUCUCUCUCUGUCUAUAUAUAUAUAUAUAUAUAAUAGAGCUACUAUGCUAUUGAAAGUAUAGAGAAUCUGAUACUUCCGACUUUUUGGCUCUUAGAUUAGCCUCUUUAAUUAUUUCCAAUUUUUGAAUUAAUACUAUUACCCUGUGGUGUAUGGAUACUACUAUACCUUAAGGGGACCACAAUCAUCCUAACCGUACAAUUUUUUAUUCAAGGGUUAAAAAAUCGAAAACAUCAAAUUCUAUAUACUUUCAAUAAUAUAGUAACUCUACACUAUAUAUAU
rnacentral:lncRNA from 1 species